rnacentral:rRNA from 1 species
GACGAACGCUGGCGGCGUGCUUAACACAUGCAAGUCGAACGGAAAGGCCCUGCUUUUGUGGGGUGCUCGAGUGGCGAACGGGUGAGUAACACGUGAGUAACCUGCCCUUGACUUUGGGAUAACUUCAGGAAACUGGGGCUAAUACCGGAUAGGAGCUCCUGCUGCAUGGUGGGGGUUGGAAAGUUUCGGCGGUUGGGGAUGGACUCGCGGCUUAUCAGCUUGUUGGUUGGGUAGUGGCUUACCAAGGCUUUGACGGGUAGCCGGCCUGAGAGGGUGACCGGCCACAUUGGGACUGAGAUACGGCACAGACUCCUACGGGAGGCAGCAGUGGGGAAUAUUGCACAAUGGGCGGAAGCCUGAUGCAGCAACGCCGCGUGCGGGAUGACGGCCUUCGGGUUGUAAACCGCUUUCGCCUGUGACGAAGCGUGAGUGACGGUAAUGGGUAAAGAAGCACCGGCUAACUACGUG